rnacentral:rRNA from 1 species
UCUAAGGCCAUACCACCCUGAACGCGCCCGAUCUCGUCUGAUCUCGAAAGCUAAGCAGGGUCGGGCCUGGUUAGUACUUGGAUGGGAGAAUCAUUUUACAUAUACAAUAAUAACGGCCUUUAUUAGAA